rnacentral:rRNA from 1 species
AGAGUUUGAUCCUGGCUCAGAACGAACGCUGGCGGCAGGCUUAACACAUGCAAGUCGAACGCCCCGCAAGGGGAGUGGCAGACGGGUGAGUAACGCGUGGGAACAUACCCUUCGGUUCGGAAUAGCUCAGGGAAACUUGAAUUAAUACCGGAUACGUCCGCGAGGAGAAAGAUUCAUCGCCGGAGGAUUGGCCCGCGUCUGAUUAGCUAGUUGGUGAGGUAACGGCUCACCAAGGCGACGAUCAGUAGCUGGUCUGAGAGGAUGAUCAGCCACACUGGGACUGAGACACGGCCCAGACUCCUACGGGAGGCAGCAGUGGGGAAUAUUGGACAAUGGGCGCAAGCCUGAUCCAGCCAUGCCGCGUGAGUGAUGAAGGCCUUAGGGUUGUAAAGCUCUUUUACCCGGGAAGAUAAUGACGGUACCGGGAGAAUAAGCCCCGGCUAACUUCGUGCCAGCAGCCGCGGUAAUACGAAGGGGGCUAGCGUUGUUCGGAAUCACUGGGCGUAAAGCGCACGUAGGCGGAUCCUUAAGUCAGGGGUGAAAUGCCGGGGCUCAACCUCGGAACUGCCUUUGAUACUGGGGAUCUUGAGUUCGGGAGAGGUGAGUGGAACUGCGAGUGUAGAGGUGAAAUUCGUAGAUAUUCGCAAGAACACCAGUGGCGAAGGCGGCUCACUGGCCCGAUACUGACGCUGAGGUGCGAAAGCGUGGGGAGCAAACAGGAUUAGAUACCCUAGUAGUCC